rnacentral:rRNA from 1 species
CCUUUCGCUCCUAGCGUCAGUUACGGCCCAGAGAUCUGCCUUCGCCAUCGGUGUUCCUCCUGAUAUCUGCGCAUUCCACCGCUACACCAGGAAUUCCAAUCUCCCCUACCGCACUCUAGUCUGCCCGUACCCACUGCAGGCCCGAGGUUGAGCCUCGGGAUUUCACAGCAGACGCGACAAACCGCCUACGAGCUCUUUACGCCCAAUAAUUCCGGAUAACGCUUGCGCCCUACGUAUUACCGCGGCUGCUGGCACGUAGUUAGCCGGCGCUUUUUCUGCAGGUACCGUCACUUUCGCUUCUUCCCUGCUAAAAGAGGUUUACAACCCGAAGGCCGUCAUCCCUCACGCGGCGUUGCUGCAUCAGGCUUCCGCCCAUUGUGCAAUAUUCCCCACUGCUGCCUCCCGUAGGAGUCUGGGCCGUGUCUCAGUCCCAGUGUGGCCGGUCACCCUCUCAGGCCGGCUACCCGUCGACGCCUUGGUGAGCCAUUACCUCACCAACAAGCUGAUAGGCCGCGAGCCCAUCCCCAACCAAAAAAUCUUUCCAACAACUGGCCAUGCGGCCGUUGCUCGUAUCCAGUAUUAGACGCCGUUUCCAGCGCUUAUCCCAGAGUCAGGGGCAGGUUGCUCACGUGUUACUCACCCGUUCGCCACUGAUCCACAGAGCAAGCUCUGCUUCACCGUUCGACUUNAUGUGUUAAGCACGCCGCCAGCGUUCAUCCUGACCAGGAUAR